CGCGCGUCGCCAUCCCUUGGCCAAGACCCGCUGAAAAGGAGGAGGGGAAAGGGGCCUCGCUCGUUUGCUCCCGCUCGGCUCGGGAGGGGGGGGGAGGAGGAUGACUUAGCACUGAAUCCGACUCCGGCAAGCAGGCAAACAAGCAGGCAGGCUGGCUCUACGCUUCCAGGUCUUGUCACAGCCCGGCCGGCCUACACCGAGCAAGACGGGUGGGCGGGAGCGCCCGCGAGGCGUUGAGGGAGGGCGAGACUGCACAGCCACGGGAGGGAGGAGGGAGGAGGAGGAGAGGGCCCAGGAAAGCUGCCUUGAGGAGCCGCCGCGCGCCGCUGCCGCCUUUUCGCGGGACUCGGGUCUGCUUCGCGAAAAGAAAGCGGGCGACGCCACCACCAUCACCGCCUUCCCUUCCGAGCAGCCCGCCGCCACUUUUCCUCCCUCCACACCUCCUGCGUCCGCAUUUUCCUCCUGCGGCGCGCCCCGAGCUGACUUAAAACUCAGAUUUGGUUUGAAUGCCUUUUACAUUAAUCUGACCUGCCCAUGUAAAGAAUAGACUCUGGGAGAAAUGCUGAAAAUCACUUGGCUUCCUCUUUCCAUGGAAAACUGAACGGAAUGUGGUGUUAGAUCUGUGAAAGAAGGCCCGUAGAAUUUAUCUGCAGUGAUGAGUUCUGAAGAGAAAGGAACUUCUCCUGCUCACAGAACCUCCACACCAUCACAUAAGGCUGACUCCUCUUCAUCAUAUUCCCAGUGGGACACUAGGCAGAGUGGCCAUGUGUUAGAGCGCAAUGCUUCUGUUGGAAGCACAGACUUGAUUAUUGGGAAGCAGUUGUUAGAAAAUGAGCCAGUCGCUGUAUCUAAAGAACCAGACAGCUGGGAAAUUAUAGAGGGCUUGAAAAUUGGCCAGACUAAUGUCCAGAAGCCAGACAAACAUGAAGGAUUCAUGCUGAAGAAAAGGAAAUGGCCUUUAAAAGGCUGGCACAAGCGCUUUUUUGUUCUGGACAAUGGAAUGUUGAAAUACUCAAAGUCACCAAUUGAUACUCAGAAAGGGAAGGUUCAUGGGAGCAUAGAUGUGGGAUUAUCGGUUAUGUCAAUUAAAAAGAAAGCACGUAGGAUAGAUCUUGACACUGAGGAGCAUAUCUACCAUUUAAAAGUAAAAUCCCAGGAUUCAUUUGAUGCUUGGGUGUCCAAGUUGCGCCAUCAUAGAUUAUAUCGUCAGAAUGAGAUUGUGCGAUCGCCACGGGAUGCCAGUUUCCACAUAUUCCCUUCAACUUCCACCACUGAAUCUUCACCAGCUACUAAUGCCACAGUGCUGGAAACUAAGGUCUCACAGAAUAAUUUCCCCUGGCAACCGUCUAUCCCUUGCAGUAGCAGUCUACCUGAAACAUGUACUACUGGCCAAAGUAAAGUAGUUGCUUGGUUGCAAGAAUCAGAGGAGAUGGAUAAGUGUGCAGAAGAUCUUGCACAUUGUCAAUCAAAUCUUGUAAAACUCAGUAAAAUUCUUCAGAACUUAGAAAUACUUCAGAGAACUCAGUCAGCACCUAGUUUCACAGAUAUGCAGGCUAACAGUGUAGAUAAGAAAGACAAGCGUGUCACCAGAAGAUGGAGAACAAAAAGUGUGAGCAAAGAUGCUAAAAUACAGCUUCAGGAAGGGACUGCGCUGAAGGGCCAAUUCGGUACUGCACGGCGCCGGCAGAGACUAGCAGCAGCAGUGGCUACAACAGUUCCUUUCAGUGCUACAAUGUCUCCUGUUCGACUACAUUCAUCUAAUCCUAACCUUUGUGCAGACAUCGAAUUUCAGACCCCACCCACUCCUGUAUCGGAUCCUUUGGAAAGCUCCACAGACUACAUAAAACUUCAGGAAGAGUUUUGCCUCAUGGCUCAGAAAGUACAUUCUCUUUUGAAGUCUGCAUUUAACAGUAUAGCAAUAGAAAAGGAAAAACUGAAACAGAUGGUAACAGAACAUGAUUUCGCAGCACACAACACACAGAUGAUACGUCUCCGACAAUCACUUUCUCAGGCUCUCAACCAGAAUGCUGAACUAAGGAGUCGUUUGAACAGAAUACACUCAGACUCUGUUCUUUGUGAUCAGGUUGUCAGUGUAAAUAUUAUCCCUAGUCCUGAUGAGACAGGUGAACAGAUCCAUGUCAGUCUCCCACUUUCUCAACAAGUUUCUAAUGAGAGCCGGCUCUCCAUGUCCGAAUCUGUCUCUGAAUUUUUUGAUGCCCAAGAAGUGCUUCUAUCUGCAAGCUCAUCAGAAAAUGAGGCUUCUGAUGAUGAAUCUUAUAUAAGUGAUGUGAGCGACAACAUAUCUGAGGACAACACUAGUGUUGGAGACAAUAUUUCUCGGCAAAUAAUGAAUGGUGAGCUAACAGGAGGUGCUUUCAGAAAUGGACGAAGGACAUGUCUUCCAACACCCUCCCCUGAUACUAGUAAUAUUAAUCUGUGGAACAUUUUGAGAAAUAAUAUUGGGAAGGACCUUUCCAAAGUAUCAAUGCCUGUAGAGCUCAAUGAGCCUUUGAAUACUUUGCAACAUCUUUGCGAGGAACUGGAAUAUAGUGAACUUUUGGACAAAGCUGCUGAAAUCGAUGAUCCCUAUGAACGUAUGGUCCUUAUUGCUGCCUUUGCAACUUCAGGAUAUGCUUCCACUUAUUACAGAGCAGGAAGCAAGCCUUUUAACCCUCUACUUGGUGAGACUUAUGAGUGUAUAAGAGAAGACAAGGGAUUUCGAUUUUUCUCAGAGCAGGUUAGCCAUCACCCACCCAUUUCUGCCUGUCACUGUGAAUCAAAGAAUUUUGUGUUUUGGCAAGAUAUUAGAUGGAAAAACAAAUUCUGGGGGAAAUCGAUGGAAAUAUUGCCAAUUGGAACUCUGAAUGUGACACUUCCUAAAUACGGUGAUUGCUAUGUUUGGAACAAAGUCACUACUUGCAUACACAACAUCCUGAGUGGAAGGAGAUGGAUAGAGCAUUAUGGAGAAGUAACCAUUAGAAAUACAAAAAGCAGUGUCUGUAUUUGUAAGCUCACAUUUAUCAAGGUGAAUUACUGGAAUUCUAACGUAAAUGAAGUUCAAGGUGUUGUCAUUGACCAAGAAGGAAAAGUGGUGCAUCGCCUUUUUGGAAAAUGGCAUGAAGGAUUAUAUUGUGGAAUUGCACCUUCAGCAAAAUGUAUAUGGAGGCCCGGUUCCAUGCCAACAAAUUAUGAGCAUUACUAUGGUUUCACAAGGUUUGCUGUUGAGCUGAAUGAGUUAGAUCCUGCACUGAAAGAUCUUCUUCCAAAAACAGAUGCUCGAUUCAGGCCAGAUCAAAGGCAUUUGGAAGAUGGAAAUUUAGAAGUAGCAGCAGCGGAAAAACAAAGAAUUGAAGAACUCCAGAGAUGCCGGAGACGUUAUUUAGAGGAAAACAAUAUAGAACAUGUACCAAAAUUUUUUAAUCUAAUCCCUCUUCGGAUGGAGUAAUUCCUUCUGUGUAUACAACAAUAUGAAGUGGUGUCCCCAGACUGAAGCAGUUAUUCUUGGCUGCAAAUCAGGAUUGGUUAGAAGAGUGCUGAUUCCUAUUAACACCAGAUGGAGAAGUAGAGAAAUUGGCUGAAGAAACUGAAUUAGUUGAGUGUAAGUUCCCCCCCACUUCCUGUGAUAGGGUCUGAGAUUAUAACACUGAUUAAACAGAUGAAAUUGAAUAAAGCUCCAGAAUAUGAGUUCAUUUUAGUGGAAGACAUUCAAAACAGUUUAGAUUGGUGGGUACCCAUUUUGGCUUUCCUAUUCACCUGUAUUGAUAAAUAUGCUAAGAUCUCUGAUGAUUGGGCCUACCUUUGGUGACUUCAAUCUACAAAAAAAGAAAAAUAGAGAUUAUUGGCCCAUUAGCCAAUCAAUUAAUUAUAUGCUAGCACAUGUACAACAAGCUCCUACAUUGGAGUGUAACUGAGAAUAUCUUGUCUGAUGAGCAGACAGGCUUCAGAGAAAGCCACUAAUUAACUCUUAUAGACACAUUGAAUAGCCCAUCUCUUGAUCUGCCAAAAUUGGGAAGUAGACACAUUUCUUUUAUAUGCAGAUGCUGUUGCACUGUUUCCUUAGACACAGACUGUCUAAGGAUCACUGAUGAUGUUACCUAGUUUGGGUAAUGAAAUGUCUGCAAGAAAACAAGAGCUCAGUCACAGAUUGGCCUGAAAUGGGCACUUAAUAUACUUGGUGGGGACUGUCAAGAAGAACAGCUAGAAAUUAAUUACUCCAAAAUCAGGGUCAUGGUUUUUGCUAAGGAACACAAGUCUGGCAGCUAAAUUAUUUAACAGAGUAGGUCUUAAAUAUCUGGGGAUUAUUUUCCAUGCUAUAGGCAACUAUAAAUUUCACACCAAUUAUGUUACCCUAAAUACACAGAAAUCCUCUUUGGCUUUAUACUUUUUUUUAUUUCUCAAAAGGAUCUCCGUAUAUAUCAGCAGCAAUUAAAAUCUCUUCAACUAACAUCCAAGCCCAGCAACUUUUUGGAAUUUAGUUGGGUCCUUAAAGGGCAUUCCUUUGUCUUGAAAGAGUUCAAACCAAAUUUUUGAUUCUUUUUCAAGUAGUUCAUUGUGUGCCAAAUGUGUGCUUCAUAGUAAAGCCAGCCUUCUUAAAAUGACUGUGCAUUAGCUGAUCUCAAACAAUGGGCCACUGAUUUAGAGUUGUAGGCUGAGUUAUCAGUUCUAUCUAGAAACAACUUCUUGAGCCACUCCACAUAUCUUCUUCAAUUAGCCAAAUACCUUAGUUGCAUCAUGAUUCCAAAAUUUAGAAAGGCUUUAUCCUUGGCUAGAUUCAGUGCCUGCACAACAGUGGUUACUGAAGGGACAUGGUGAAUGAAAGAUCCCUUUUGAAUAGAGAUGUCCCCACAUGGUGGAGAAAUAAUUGAAAUGCUGGAACAUGAUACCUAGACACUCACCAAGAAUUAUUAUCUCAAUUCUUUAUUAAAUAUCCUAUUCGUUCUGACUUGUUUUAUCUUGUUAUUAUUAGGUCAAUGUGAUUUGACAUCUUUGACCACAGCUAAGUACCAUUCUACAGUUUGUACAGUACACCAUAAUAUCUCUUCUAAUCCUUCUUAGAUAUUUUAGAACAAUUAUUUUUUUCUUUUUUUAUCCUAAUUGAUUUUCUUCUUUUAUUUGUUGAUUGUUGAUUUAUGAUUAAAUAAAAUGGAUUAUUUUAUUGCAAUUUCAUUUUUCAGAAGAUUUCCUCAACAAGUAAAUUAAAUUGAAGUAUAUUUCUAUUCUCUUAAAGAAUAUUUUUGAAUUUAUGUUAACCAAUAACUCUUUUAAUUUUGCAGAAAAGUUAUUGAAGCCAAUCAGAGAGAAGCAUGGGUUUCUAAUGACACCUAUUGGGAACUCCGAAAGGAUCCUGGCUUUAGUAAAGUAGAAACACUCAAACUCUGGUAAACUGAGAAUGUAGAUCUAGCAACAUAUAACUCUUUUAAAAUAGAAAAACAAACAAAGAAAGAAACCACUAUGCACAACAUGUUUCUUAUAGCUGACGGUGAUUUGUGGGUCUGCAGGAAACCUUCCUUUGCUUUUACAUUCAAUUUAUAAUAGACUUCCAAAAGUGCAUUAGCCCAGACUCUGAACAUUUCUAUGAUCAUUAAAUUGAAAAGAAGGGAGGAAAAAGCCCACAACCCCUUCAUUUAUUGAGAUACUGGAAGUGCAGCAUAAAAGAAGCAUGUACUGAUUUGGCCAAAGAUGCUUUGUAGAGUAUCUGGUGCUUUAAAUAGACAUGAAGAGUUCAACAAUAAAAUAAAUCUUGUUAUAACUAAGUUCUAGAAUGUCUACACAUGUAGUUAUUGAAUCUUGAAUCACAUUAGAACACUUGUUCAUUUCUAGAGUCAGGUUGGUUUUUUUGAUGUGUUGUGCUUGGACUGGCUAUAUCAAAAACAACAUAAUGCUUUUCUAGAAGCUCUUCCCAUUCAUAUGCCAUUUUUCAUGCCUUAAAAACAAUGUCAAGUUGUACGUUGUUAUUUUAAAAUAUGUAUGUAUUUGUCAUUUCUCAAGGGCAGAUUUUUAAAAACACCAAGAUUUUUGUUCAUAUUUUAAAUAAUGGAUAAAGUAUAUUAUUUAUGGAAAAUGAACUGUAAUUGUAAAGCAAAAGGAUGAUCUGGGAAUGUUUUAUCUUUGCAGUUUGUGGUUCUAUAUAGGCAGGUUGAAAGGAAACUGGCUAAUUUUGUAAUGAUCUUGAGAAAUUAAUCUAAGUUCAUAUUCUCAAUGCCUAAUGCUGUGAUAAAUACACCAUCUCUUUUCAUGACUUCUCAUACUUCCUUCUGUCUGAUUUUCAUAACCCUUUAUAGAAUUAAAAUUCCUUAAAACUGUGCAUGAAUGCUAAGCACAUCUUUUAAAUUAGAAAAGCAUCCUGCAGGGGUAUAAUCAUCCUGAUAACCUAUGUAUUCAUGCUUUCUUAUGUACAUUAUAUAUAUUUGUUCUCACCUCUUUGGGAAUUGUUGGGAGAAGUAAUGUGAUACAUGCACUACUUUCUCAGUUGACUCUUGCUAAUAUCAUUUUUAUGCAAAAUUAUAUUUUAUUGCUUUUUCAUAAAGCAAUUAUAUUUUUGGAUGAAGAAUGACCUAAAUGGCUAUUAUGUAGCACAUUUUGAUGUAUAUGUGGAAAGAGCCUGGAUGAUGUUGCCCUCAAAAUUAAGUCUAGUUGGUUACCAUGCUUUGCUAAAAUCAAUAUAUAAAGUAAAAAUCUUAAUGCUUUUUAAUAGAAAGUUGUCUUUUAUUUAUGUCCAGUGAUUUAAUUUAUUAAUACCUUGGACACUGGCAAUAGAAAAGAUUUUCUUGUAUAUAUUUCAAAAAUAACAUUUCUGUAUAUUCAUGGCACAUAACUGUAUUUUACUGAGUGCAUUUUAUUGCUUUUCUGUAAAGGCACAGAGGUGGCUAUGAUUUGCCGAAAGCAAACUAACUGUAUAUGAUUAUGCAUUCUAUGUAGUACUCAUCUUAUUUCCCCCAUGUCCAUUUCUGCUUAAUAAGCACACCUGUAUAAGGGACAGCCUGUUUAAAAAUAGGGCCUUAACUUCCUGAAGUUACUUCCAGCUGGGAGUAUACCAUAUUAGCUAGACAUUUAUUAUCUGGCUGCGAUUUCGCUCUGAAUUUCAGUUGUAACUUAGGAUCACUUGUAUUUGACCAAGGCUUAAAAUAUGCACGAUAUUCUAGUACGAGUCUCUGAAGUACAGAAGGAGAAUGUUUUGUUUGCUGAUAUGCACAUUUCAUUCAAAUUGAAAAAGAAUUAGAAUGCAUAGGAUAAAAUAUGCAUGGACUUUUACAUGGUCCUUAUACAACAGGAGCUGUCAGCAUGCCACUGUCACAUUGGGAAUUUUGUUAACGUAGUAAUCCUUACAAGGUAUAGUUUAGUCAAUCUUGGUAAAAAUAGGAAGAAAGAAUGCCUUACCAUUCCGUCUUUUACAUUCAGUCUUCGGUAACCUCCCAGGAAUUUGUUACUGUCUCUUCAAAGCCAGAAUUAUUAAUUAAAAAGUUAUAAAUAUUAACAGAUAUUAUGAUUUAGUAAAAUGUUGAGACCAGGUGCUUAACAAGGUCAAUUAUAAAUCGAGCUAACUUUGACAUAACAUGCUGCCCCAAAUAACAUACUAAAGUUGAUUAGUUUUAAGCUUGACUAGCAUAUUAUUUGAAGGCAGGCCAUUUGGUUAGUUUAUAACAUUUUUUUAAAUUUACUUUUAUCCCACCUUUAUUAUUUUUAUAAAUAACUCAAGGCAGUGAAAAUAUCCCACAUACCUUCCUCCUCCUACUCUUCCCCACAAACAACCCUGUGAGAUUGAUUGACCUGAGUGAGAGUAAUUCACUGAAGGUCAUCCAGCUGGCUUUAUGGCUAAGGCAGGAUUAGAAUUUACAGUCCUCUGCUUUCUAGCUUGGUGCCUUAACCCACCAGACCAAAAUGGGUCUCUAUAUUGUACACACCUGGAUUAUCAGUCCACUUAGCUAACUGCCUGAGCCUGUUCUGUGAACCCAGAACUAAACUUCAAAUGGCUUACUUGUAUUAAUGUAACAAGUUUGAUUUAAAUAUAUGGGACUACAGCCGUUUUCCUUUGGGACAAUUGUAAUUCAUCCAAGCCAUUUCCUUUCAGGUAAUGCAAAAUGUGAAAAAGGAAUAAGAAUUAGUAAGCAAACCACAAGAGAUGAGAUUAGGAGCAUAUGAAGAUAGCUACAUUUACACCCAUAAAAUCCACUAUAACUCUGUAUUUUUCUAUCCUUGCAAACCAUUCUUGCUUUGAACACAUUGGUACUCCACUUCAGAGGUUGCCUUUGGUUCUAAAUCUUCUCACCAAUAAGUUCUUGAGGGUUUCAUUAGCUCAUUCAACCAUGGUUUUCCUUCAUUAUCCACUUCAUUUGAAUCCAUUUACUUUUCCUUCGUACGUUGGUUUUACAGUUCGGUCUUCAUUCGUUCUCUAGAGGUCACUGCCUAUCAGUCCCAAUUCAUUCUACAGAUAAUGUCUUUAGUUAUUCAACAAUUAUUUGUUUCCAUCCUAAUUACUUUGCAUUUUCUUUCCUGUGUUUAUUUAAACAGCUCCCUGCUAUCUGUGACUGCAUUCUUCGCAACUUUUUCUCUACAUGUAUGUCAUAUAUUUUACUCAUCAUGAUUCUCUUACCCCUGUGUAUUGCUCAUUCACAGACUUUUGACUUCAUUCAUUUUUAAUACUUUGGUACUUUUCUUUAGUAUUAUGUCCACAAACGUCAGUGGUAAAGUAAUUUUUCCCACUGUUUUAAGUUAGCUUACAUAUUCUUUUUCCUCAAGUCUACUCUCUUUUUAGAUUAUUGGGAGAUUUAUUUGUUUUCAAUUUUAUCUAUACAGGGCACAUUUUGUCUACCAGUAGUUAUUCUAUUUUUUUCAUUUCUUUCUUCCAUGUGUAUUUUUUUUUCUUAAGAUCCAUUUUUGAGACUACCGUUAAUGAUUUGGCAUCUAAUUUCUGAACUUUUCAUCACUUUUGUACCUUCAAUAAUUCAUUUAAAAAAAAUCAAGUGAACGCUACUUUAAUGUGUGACAAAAAAGAGACUUAUACUUACUUACAAGUUAUGCUUUUUAUUCAUUUUCCAUGUGGCCUACUCACUUUUGCUGUACUCUUGUCUUCUUUCUGUUCACUGUUAUCUUUUAAGAGUAUUCUCCUCCCCCCCAGAUUGAAUUUUUCAGAAUAUUGCACAUUAUCUCAAAACUCAUCCCUGAGGCAAUUCUCACCAGCUUAUGCAUUCCUAUAUUCAUAUGCACUUCAACAAACUAGAUAACAUCAAUUUCUAAUUAAUAUUGUAGCUCUUCAUAAUUAAACGUUUUCACUUCCAUACAUGUUUUAUGAAUUCCAUUCUCUAAGAUUAAACUACCAUAUUUUUUGCACUAUAAAACGCACCGGACCAACUCCCCAGCCCCACCCCCACCGCAAUAUUCGCUCUAUAAGACACACAGACAUUUCCACCCACUUUUUUGGGGGGGGGAGUGUGUCUUAUAGAGUGAAAAAUACGGUACCUUAUUUAGUUGUUACAUCCUUCACCUUUCAGAGACAUAAAACUAUUUUUUAUUUCAUUUGUUAAUUAAUGCUAUUUAUCAUUUGCUCCAGGGUGGAUUUGAUUUAUAUCGAGUCGAUUUAAAUCAUGAUUUAAAUCACUAGUAAAAAGACUUGAUUUAAAUCAACUCGAUUUAAAUCAUAAUUUUUAAAGAGCAACUGUCAUCUCUGCUACUCCUUUGACCCGCUGUUGACUCACCGAUAGUCCCAGUGUUGCAGAAUAUACAGCCUUGUGCUACAUAACUAAGCUCCGUUUCAUGCUGAAUAAACUAAAUUAUUUAUGUAUCUUAAAUAGAAAACUAUCUUACGAUAGAUUUUUACCCCAAAAGUUUUUUAUUAAAAUAAAUUCAAUAAAAAUAAAAAAAAUCUGAUUUAAAUAAAAAAAAUCUGAUUAAAAAAAAAAUCAUUGAUUUUUAUCCACCCUGAUUUGCUCUCUUUCAUAUGCCAUAAUGAACACUAAUUGGGCUCAUAGCAAUAGCACUUAAGACUUACAUAGCGUUUCACAGUGCUUUACAGACCUCUCUAAGUGAUUUACAGUCUCAGUAUAUUGCCCCCAACAAUCUGGUUCCUCAUUUUAUUGACUUUGGAAGGAUGGAAGGCUGAGUCAACCUUGAGCCGGUGAAAACCGAACUGACGAUCUGCUGAUAGCCAGCAGUCAGCAGAAGUAGCCUGCAGUACUGCAUUCUAAUCAUUGCAUCUCCAGUAAUGAUCUCUACUACCCAUGAUGGGUUUGGUCAAGCAAAGGUUUCACACUAUACUUUUUAGUAAGAUAGCUAAAAUGUAAAUUAGGUUACCAGUUUUAGAUGUGAAACAUUCCUUGCUAAUGGUGAAAGGAAGGCUAGGCAGUUUGGGCCCAUUUUGACCCAAAGCUAUCACAAAUGCAACAAAACCCAGGUUUAUUCCAAGCAUAUUCAUAUUAUUCUACACAAGACAGAACUCUAAUCUAGAGACUGCCUUGUAAAUCUUGCAAAUUGUCUUGCAAGAUUGGUUUAGUGGUUCUCUUAGUUUUCAACACAGGACACUGAGAGAUAUAAGAGUCUAAACUACUUUGGGGGAAAAGAAACCCAUCCAGAUCUCUAGUUUGAACUAUUUUCUUAAAAAUGUAGAUAUUCUUGAAAUCAUUUCACUAUAGCAUUUAUUUUAAGAUAUGCUUUCGUAAGGUUCUAAACUAAAUCUGAAUCAAGUAUAUCAUAUUUAGCUAUAAUUGACAGUAUAGUCCUACCAUAAAUUCAUGCUAACAGGGUGAGCAAACUCAUCACAUUAGUUCAUUCGUUCACCACACAUCUGCAGAUAUUAUAUUUAUUUCAUCUAAACCUAUAAAAUAUGAUAGUUAGGGGUAGUAGGUAAAUUUUUCAGAAAAAAAAAUGCUUUCAAAGAAAAAAAAAUCCUGCUAGCCAGAGUUCAUUUAAAUCAGAUAAAAUAUGCAUUUCAAAAUGAAAAUUAUAGAAUUAACUUAAGAAGAUGAAUGUGAAUUUCUGUAAAGGAUUGAACUCAUGUGAUGGAAAUUUUUCUUUAUUAAAUUUCCAGAUUGAAAAAUGGAGCUCUUCUUUAACCUGACCUUCUCUUUCAAACAAUCUUCAGGAAAAUCUCAAGAACAUCUAAUUUAUGUGAUACGCUCCCAUAUUUAAAAUACUCCUUAUUCACUCGAAGUUUCUGCAUCAAGCUAUGUCACACUCAAGCGCCCAUUCUGACUUACCUUAUACGCUUUGCUUUUUGCAGGCCCUCCCUCCCCUCAAUCUACCCUCCCGGCCAUCCCAAUCAGUGAUUCCUCUGAAAGUAUCCUUAUUAUAAUGGCAAAUUUGGAGGAUUCUGUAGAUUGGGAACAAAUAAAAACGAGGCUUUUUAGAGUCCAGAAGAAGACUGAGAUGCCCAGUUGUGUAACAGGAAUCUGUCCCAUCCCUAUCUCUGCUAUGCACUGCUGAGUCUUAGCAUGCAGUCCCAGCAUUGGCUGAAUGUAGACUUGGGCACAUUGGCUCAAAACAUACUUGAAUAAUUAUCACAGAACUAUCAUUAUUAACUAUUGUUACUUCUCCUCUGCUUUUCUCUCUUUAGAAAUAACAGUUCCAAAACAGAAGUUCAGUAAAAAAAAAAUAAAGUCGGGAUUUGGAGGGACACUUAGAUGAAGUCCUUGAUCAAAUCAAAUGACGUUUCCCAAGUAUUUCACAGCUCAUAAAUAAUUAUUGUGGUUGCCCAAAGGAACUUUGGUUCUGGGCUAAUGCUACAUAUAAUUAGAGUGAACAAUAACCACAUUCUGUCUACCAAGUCAACCCUAUUAGAUUUCAGUAAACUUUUUCUCAGCCAUCUCUGUGUUUCUGAGAAUGGAAUGGUGCCAAUUUUGCAACUGGGAAUUCUGUAAUAAUUUUAAUGCAAGCAAUGUAUUAUGAGUGUUUUCCUAUUUAUUUCAACAGAAUGUGACUUGUAUCCAUGCCCAGGAUUGUCAAGUUUUCAUCCAAAUUAACAAAAGAAUUGCUCCCCUAUAAAAUAAUAUAUAUUGUAAAGUUCUUUUUGUGACUUACCUUAUUUAUCAGGAUUUUUAAAAGACAAUAUUGAGCACCAUAUAUUUUUUGAAAUUAUAUGUAUUCAAAUAAGAAACAGUAUUAUGAAACAAUUUAUCGAUUGCUUUUUUUCCCUUAAAGAUAAAAAGCCUAAUCCAGUAGAUUAUCAGUCUCCCUCAAAUUGUCUCUAGCUAGAGCCAUCCAAACUGCAUAAUGUUGGUAGAAGAGGUGGUGUGGCACAUCUAGAGCGAAAUAGGACAACCCCGCCUCAGCCAACUUGCAGCCAAUUUGCCGCGGGACAACUCAUCAUGGCCAACUCUCCACAGGACAGCUCACUGUAGGACAGUUUAAUUCAAUUAUUUGAAAUAAAAAAUGUUAAUUUUUGUCAUUGACAUUUAAUUCUGUCCCUCCUUUUUCAUUCUUUAAUGAUUCUAUUCCACCAUUUCUUUGGUAAUAGUGUAACUCUUCUCCUGCAAUGAAUUAGCUGUGACGAGUUGCCCUACACGAGUUGGCUCCAGUUGGAACCAGCAGCAGUAAAUCUCAAUUAGAAAUGUUGCAAAUGUUGAAAGCAAUGGAACUAGAACUUAAUUACACCAACCUAGUGCCAUAAAAUCUUGGCUUUGCUCUGUUGUCUUCUGUAGCCUAAUUUAAAGAAAUGAUUGGCAUUAGGAAGAAUGCUUAGGGACCUGAAGUAUCAACAUUACCACUAUUCAUUUUUGGAAGUAUUUCUUAAGACAAAAUGUAAUAUUUUUUGCCACUUCCUUCUUUGACUCACCAUAUUAUAGUAUCAACUAAUCAGAAGUAUGCCUCUUCAGAUAAAUGUCAUGCAGAGGAAUGUACCAUUUGUGAGAAAACUGGCCUCCCUAAACACACAGCACUUUUAAGGCACUUUGAUGUUUCAGAAAGUUUUUUUUAACAGUGUUGCAAUUUGACUGCAAUCUUACAUUGUAAAGAUCGCAGUGAUUCCAAACUUCUGCAGUGAACCCUAUUGUGACUGAACAGAGAUUUGAAUCUUAUUUUCAGCAACCCAAACUCAAUAUUGUCUUUAUCCCAUUACCCAAUGUUAAAGCUAAAUACGAAGAUAGAACAUUGUGAUACUUGCACAGGAUCAUUUUGCAAAACUCUGUGGUCUUUAUCCUCAGCCUUGAAUAUGAAAACACAUGUAUACCUUUAUAAAAAAUGCCAUUGAAUAAAAAGACCAUUGUUUUUAAUAGACUA